GUCUGGCUGGCUCAGUUGGUAGAGUGUAGGACUCUCGAUCCCAAGGUUGUGAGUUCAAGACCCACGUUGGGCC